rfam:Operophtera brumata OBRT01_Sc06273, whole genome shotgun sequence.
CGGCCAGUGGCGUAGUGGUCUAACACAUCUCUAUAUCAAGGAGGCGCUUGCGGGUUCUAAUCCCGCCUGGUUGG